GCCGAAAAGCUCGAUAAAUACGGUAAAUACUGGAUGCCGUAAAGACUCAAAAUCUGGCGAUGGCAACAUCGUGCGGGUUCAAGUCCCGCCUCCGGCA
rnacentral:tRNA from 1 species